GUCAGCAGCCGCGGUAAUACCGGCGGCUCGAGUGGUGGCCACUUUAUUGGGCUUAAAGCGUUCGUAGCUGGGUUAUUAAGUCCCUUGGGAAAUCCGACAGCUUAACUGUCGGGCGUCUAAGAGAUACUGGUAAUCUUGGAACCGGGAGAGGUGAGGGGGUACUUCGGGGGUAGGAGUGAAAUCCUGUAAUCCUCGAGGGACCACCUGUGGCGAAGGCGCCUCACCAGAACGGCUUCGACAGUGAGGGACGAAAGCUGGGGGAGCAAACCGGAUUAGAUACCCGGGUAGUCCCAGCCGUAAACGAUGUGCGUUAGGUGUAUCGGUGACCACGAGUCACCGAGGUGCCGAAGGGAAACCGUGAAACGUACCGCCUGGGAAGUACGGUCGCAAGGCUGAAACUUAAAGGAAUUGGCGGGGGAGCACCACAACAGGUGGAGCCUGCCGGUUUAAUUGGACUCAACGCCGGAAAUCUCACCGGAUAAGACAGCAGAAUGAUUGCCGGGCUGAAGACUCUGCAUGACUAGCUGAGUAGAGGUGCAUGG
rnacentral:rRNA from 1 species